AUCACGCAGCAGUGGGGGGCAGAUAAAAGCCCUUUGGACGAGGGUCACCUCCCACCAUGUUGUUCACUUGAGAGCAGUGGAGAGGAAAACGGUCCCCACGGGCGGACUUUGGCUUCUGGAGCCGCAGGGCCCAGCGGUCCCGGCCUCUCCGCCUCUCAGCCUGGUAGGGGGCGGGGAGGGCCAAAGGGAGGAGGGGAAGGAAGGAGCUAGAAGAGGGGAUUUGGGGAUGGGGGCUGGAAGCGCUAACGAGACCUGCCCGGAGGAUUUAGGUCUCCUGCAGGUUGGUGAGUGAUUUGGGAGCUCUGGGUAGAAGAGGUGUACCUCGGCCUAGUUUGGUUGCUGAACUAGAACAACGCGAGGAGAUCAAUCAAUCUGCAGGAAACAAAAAAUGGAAGUCGAGGUUUAGGAAGAGUUGUCACUUCCCCGACUUGAGUGGUGCAGGCUGGGGGCGGAGACUUGGGACCUAAGAGAGGCCAUUUCUCUCACCUCAGCUCCCUUCCCUUGGACUUCCAAAAGGAAUAAUUUUACUCUCUCCUCCGUUCUCCCCACAACUCUCAUCCCCGCUAGCCCGCAGGCCGCCUGCCCCUUUCCGCACCUCCUUUUCCCAUCCAGCGAGAGAAACCUAGCUCCCAGAGCCGGUGCAGUCAGUCCCCUCGCCCCUCCCGCCCCGGCACGGGUCCCCCUCCAGCCGUCGCUGCAGCCACCACCUCGGUUCCACUCAAUCGAUUUUUGCUGCAUGUCAACACUUAUUACCGGAAUCUUCAAAUGAUAAUUUUGAAAAGAGAAGCAGUCCUUUUCAUGAUGAAGAGAUGAGUUGUCAAAAGCCCAGGUUCUCCAGGGCAGAAGAUUUCAGUCUCUGAUCACUCAUUCUGGGAGAAGACAACCGUCAUAUCAUGUCAUGAAGAUACUCAUGCAGUCCUAUGGAGAAUUUCAUUGACAUAAGGUCUCACUAUGUUGCCCAAGCUGGGGUGCAGUGGCUAUUCACAGGCACGAUUGUAGCAGACUACAGCCUUGAACUCCUGGGCUCAAGUGAUCCUCCCACAUCAGCCUCCCAAAUAGCUGUGACUACAGACAUGCACCAUGACACCGGGCUAAGUUAUGGGGUAAUUUGUUAUGCAGCAAUCUCAACAUGAGGCAAUGGUAAGACUGUUUAAAAAUGUUAUGUGUUUUUUGGCUACAUCAAUUGAAUAAAGGUUUCAUAUCAUCUAUUAAUAAUCCACUUCUAGACUUACACUAACGUAGGAUAUUGUUUAUAGCUUGAGUCGUAUAGUAUGACAGACAUUGGUAAAGAUAUUGAGAGUACUAAAGUACUAUCAAGAUAGUGAAAACAACAAAAUAUAACAUGAGGAGUGCUUCAGUCAACUGGUGAUGUUUAACCUUGAGUAGACUAAGGAAUUACAUGGUAUCUAUACAUGUAUGUAAAGCAGUAGUGCAGGGAAGAAAUAAUAGAUAUAUUCUGCAUAUCCUGUGUUUCUUCAAAGGGGAGAAAAAUAACAAAAGGCUAAAUGUUGUAGAAUGGUAGAUCUCAACAAAAUAUAUGGAAGCAUUUUUUGAUGCUUCAAAUUCUUUAACAAAAUAAUGACUUCCACAUUGGAAAAGUUGAAACAUAGUCAGGAUUACCACCUAUGAAAAAGGUAGUUCAGAAAAAUCCUAGACUGGAAUGUUGAAUAAACUAUACAAAAUGGCCAUGAGGCUGCUUUCCCAUUUGAUCUAAGAUACACUUAGUUUUCUGCAAUAAACCAGCAAAUUUAGAGGCACUCCCUUACCCAAAGCUCCAAAGUACUUAGAAUACCAUCUUAGGUGACACAGUAAACUUUCUGCAGAUCCAUGGAAUGUUAUUUAAGUGUUUUCCCAGUUAACACCAGGAUCUAGAUAUGAAGUAGAAAGACCGAAAGACCACUACAGAGGAAGAUACCUCUCAUUAGUAUUUGGUCUAAAGACUUUUUUUCAAGGCUUCUCCAGGAUAAAUGUAUUUCUUGAAGCUAAGAUUCAGAUUCAGCUUUGGCUUCAUUUUAAAGUAAAAACACUCUGGGUUAGAAUGAUUUCUAAAAUCUAAAGCUAACUUGCAUAUCACAUAGUACAAAGAAGAUAAGCACAAAUCAUUUACUGAGAAUCAUUUAUUUAAUACUGUUUGAGGCUUAUCAGGAGGGUCCAUUAUACGCCAUACAUGUGUUAAACUUUCAGUCAGUAAACCAAAAUUACACAAUUCUUCUUCUUCUUUUUCUUCUUCUUCUUCUUCUUCGUCUUCGUCUUUGUCUUCCUCUUCCUCUUCCUCUUCCCCUUCUUGUCUUGCUCUGUCACCCAGGCUGGAGUGCAGUGGCACAAUCAUGGCUCACUGCAGCCUUGAACUCUUGGGCACAAGCGAUCCUCCCACCUUAGCCUCCUGAGUGGCUGGGCUACAAGCACAUGCCACCACACCAGCUAAUUUUUAAUUUUUUGCAGAGAUGAGGUCACUACAUUGCUCAGGCUUGUCUUGAAUUUCUAAGCUGAAGAUAUCCUCCUGCCUCGGCCUUCCAAAGUGUUGGGAUUACAGGCAUAAACCACCAUUCCUGACAGGAUUUUUUUUUUUUUUUGAGACAGGGUUUCUCUCUGUCACCCAUGCUGGAGUGCAGUGGCACAAUCUCGGUUCACUGCAACCUCCACCUCCUAGAUUCAAGCCAAACUCCUGCCUCAGCCUAUAGCUGGGACUACAGGCAUCAGGUAUGCGCCACCAUGCCCAGUUAAUUUUUUUUUUUUGAGACAGAGUCUUGCUCUGUCUCCCAGGCUGGAGUGCAGUGGCGCCAUCUCGGCUCACUGCAACCUCCACCUCCUGGGUUCACGCCAUUCUCCUGCCUCAGCCUCCCGAGUAGCUGGGACUACAGGCGCCGGCCACCACGCCCGGCUAAUUUUUUGUAUUUUUAGUAGAGACAGGGUUUCACUGUGUUAGCCAGGAUGAUCUCGAUCUCCUGACCUCGUGAUCUGCCCACCUCGACUUCCCAAAGUGCUGGGAUUACAGGCAUGAGCCACGGCACCUGGCGAAUUUUUUUAAAUUUUAUUUAUUUAUUUAUUUUUUGAGACAGCGUUUUACCACGUUGCCCAGGCUGGUCUCGAACUCCUGAGCACAAGGAAUUUGCCGGCCUCAGCCUCCCAAAAUACUGGGAUUACAGAUGUGAGCCACCGCACUCAGCCCCUGGCAGGAUGUUAAAUUCUUAAUUUUCUAUGUAAUACUCACAAUUUUGGGUCCCUUAAAAGACAGUUGUUUUUUAUUUUUUCUUGAAUAAUAAAAAGAAUGAGAGAAGAUGAGUUCAUGCCCUAAUUCUUAAAAAACAACUUAGAAAUUAUUGUAGGGAUAAUAUAAGAACAGCAAUAUAUCUGCAAUACUCUUUAUUAGAUAAUUGAAUUAGUCCUUUCUCAUACUGCUAUAAAGAACUACCUGAGACUGGGUAAUUUAUGAAAAAAAGAGGUUUAAUUGACUCACAGUUCUACAGGCUUAACAGGAAGUAUGACUAGGAGACCUCAGGAAACCUACAAUCAUGGCAGAAAAUGAAGGGGAGGCAAGCACAUCUUACCAUGGCAGAGCAGGAGGAAGAGAGUGAUCAGGGAGGUGCUACACACUUUCAAAGAACCAGAUUUCCUGAGAACUUCAUCACAAGAACAGCAAGGGGGAAGUCCACCCCUAUGAUUCUAUCACCUCCCACCCGGCCCUUCCUUCAACAUGUGGGAAUUACAAUUAGACAUGAAAUUUGGGUGGGGACACAGAACCAAAGCAUAUCAAUAAUUUUGCCUAAUGUAAUAAUAUUUCCUUAAAUAGAAAUGUGGAAAAUAAAGCCAUAGUCUUUUACCAGUUGUCUUUGAAAUUAAGAAUCUUCUUAGUUUUACCACAUAGAAAAUGGGUUUAACAUUUAUGUAGAACAUAUAUAAACGUUAUACAAACAUUUAUGUGUUAUCUAUUGUGCAUUGAAGAUGAAGAGCCUGGUAAUUGUAAAAUAUUUUGUUAAUAGUUUCAUUUUUCAAAGUAAUUAAGACAUUAAUCAUAUUUUCAGUAGAAUAACUUAUAUGAAAAUGCUGACUUUAAGUCCGAAGUAAACUUUUUUUGACAUUAUAGAGCCCCAGUGUUCUGAGCUCUUCCCCCAAGAGCCUGGCCCAUAUAAAAGCCCAUUCUUCCAUUGCUGUCUUGAAAAAAAUCUUAUGUUCAGGACUUUUUCUUAUCAUUGCUCCUUCAGGCUAAGCCUUAUUUGUCCAUCAGCUUUCUUUUUGUUUUAUCUUACUAAUAUAGAUUAAGUAAAAAAAAAAUAAAGCAAAAUAUGCAUAAAAACAUUCAUGUAUUAUGUAUAAUUGCCUUUCAAAACCUUAGUUACUAUGCUAAGGUGUUUAGAUUCUAGCUCAAAGUUUUUAAAUUAUUUGCUUUAUAACUGAAAGGGAAAGUCUGUUUUUUUCACUUCUUAUAAAGUACCUUCCUAGCCUAUGAGCCUUUACCAGUCCCUGGGAUCCACUGGGAUUAACAUUUAUAAACUGCAAAUACACAAAAAGCCAAGGGCCAAGGAUUUCCAAAUAGGUAUAAAUACGUUUUCCUUGCGAUGGUAAAAUGAGGUAAUACAAAUCAUCAUUAAGGAGAAUGGAGAACUCUCAUUUUCAAUGUAUACUGCAAUUAAAUUAAGUUUCUCUAAAAACUCAAUUGGUCUGAGUUCAGAAUCUAAAAUGCAUAAGAAAGUAGAUUUCUGAUAAUGAUAGGAGGAUCCCACUUUUCAUGUUGGGUGGCUAUGUAUAACUCAAUGUUAAAUAUUAAAAUACUAAAAAAUUUAAUGUAUUUAGUUCCCUUUUUUGAAAGGGCUAGGGCUUCUAACUUCUAAAGCCACUUUAACAUUAUGUUUGUAGAUUUAGUUUUAAGAAUAUUAUAGCAUAAACUAAGUAAAAUGUUGCCAGAAUGUUUUUCAAUAUGGAGUAAAAUUUUUAUUGAUAUGUACUUAUUUUCUAUAAUGGGAACUAAACUCACAUAAUUUUAAAAGAAGAUAAAUUUUAAAGUAUAAAAUGAAUGGAUUUCUGUUUUCUCAACUGUCUCCAUAAAUUACAUGCCAAUAUGAAAAUCUCUCAUUAUUAUAAGUACGUAGAACAUUUAUGAAAUCCAAUGUUCCUUUUCUUUGUCAUAGUUUAAAGUUAGUUUUCACAGUACUUCACUUAAAAGAAAAUUAAUUCAUCUCUGCUGUGUAAUCCUUAGCCCUAAUAUAUUUCAGUCAUGGUUUUCCCUUUGUGGCUCUGAUAUUUACAUUUUAAUUCACAGCACAAAAAUAUGUGAAAUGACACUAUCAGUGCAACAAACGAUAUGCAUUUCAAUAUUUUGGAAUAUAACUUCACAGAAACCUUGAUACAUUAUUAUAUUUCACAAAAGCCUAUGGUUAACUCAGUCUGUUAUAACACUGUGGGACUAUAAAAUAUUUUAGAUGAUAUAAUGAGGAAAGAAGAUAGAUUUAAGUGGAAUACACUAUUACCAGGGAUUCAUCAGUUACCUGCUCUCUUUCUGCCUUCCUAGGUAAAAUCAAGAUCAAAACCAUCAAUACAGUAGCACAAGUAUUCAGAUUGCAUUUUUUUUGUUUUUGAGAAGGGUUUUAGGGAAACGUUUGGGAAAUGCAGUCUGAAGAACAUCUAACCCAUAGACAUACAAACGAAUAGCAGUAAAUAGUUGGAACAAACGGAAUUGACAAUUUAUAUUCUGAACGUGUCUCAUAUGCUGGAAGACUAAAACUUUCUUUAACCUCUGAGCCCUUGUCAUGGUUUCUCAGUAAUUAAAAAAGGAGAAAAGCUACUCCUUUCAGUAAAGGACUUGAGGAAGCUUUUAAAAACAUAGGUUUUUAAAAACAUAAAUGGAAUUAAUUAAUUAGAAAACAAUUAUAUUUUAUAAGGAUCAUUAAAUUGUGAGCCUAGAUGGAUCUUUACUUAUCUUUGUAUCCUCAGACCCUAAAAGUAUCCAUCAUUAGGUAGAAAUUCACUAAAUAUGUAUUGAAUGAAUUACUUUUAAAAUAAAAUAAUACCAUAAUUUUUGAAAAUUUAGCUUCUUUUGUAUUUUUAGAUUUGGCAUUAAUUCAAUGAUAAUAACUCAAAUUUUACUUUAUUUUCAAAGGCCAAAUCUAUAUCAUUAAACAUUAACAUUUAACAUGUAAUCAAAACAAUAUAAUUAGUCAUACUUGUAACAAUAUUAUUAAUUGUAUUAAUUCCAUAUUAAUUUUUACUUAAAAACAUUUUCCUGGCAAAAACAAGAGUAUGAAACAUAUCAAAUAGGAUGGAAAUCUAAGUGAACUGUUGAGGUUGUCAUAAAUAGCUAGUAAUAGAAAUGUAUAGCAGAAAUGUGACUAGGCCUGAACAUCUAUCACUUAAUUGGUUUACUAGAAUAAGUAUCUUUAUUCAAUUGAGUCUGGAGUUUAUUUGCAUUUAUGACCAGAUGCUUGGAAACUAACUAUUAUUGCUGUGAUUGUUGUUGAACUUUUAAUGAAUUACAUGCUGCACCAAUUUUAGCGGACCGUAAUUUCUUCUCUAAAAGUACAAAUGUGUGAAAAUUACAGCAAAAUGGAAAUGCUGACAGAUGUUCAGCUAAAGUAUCACUACCUUGGACUUAUUCCAUAUUGUUUUCAAGCCCUGUUUUUCUCCUCAGAUAGUUUAAGAAAACCUCUAAACAACUCUUGAAAUGACAAUACAUCUUCAAUGAGAUCUCUCAUGAAUUCUGCACAUUUUAAUUCUCAAAUUAUGUUAAAUGUCUAGAUCCACUCUAGGAUGACUAAAUAUAUACAACUAAGUAAUACAAUUUACUAAAAAGAUUUGCUCUCUCUAGUGAAGUCACAAUAUUAUUUCAUUUCCUGGCACUCCUGUACUGAGUAAUUUAAUAAAUGAUAUAAAUGAUGAUGACUAUUAUGUUGAUGAUAGCGGUCUGGCCUACUUUUGUGAUAUUAAAUUUUAAUGUUUUCUGUGCUUGAAAACAGGAAAGUUAAUAAUGAUUGAUUACAGCUGCUUACUGGAUAUUUUAGAACAUUACAUUUAAAAACUCUGUGUUGAAAAAAUAAUUUAUUUCUAAAACUCUUGAGAUUAUUUCUGAAACACUAUUGGUACUAUGUGAUGUUGAGGGCUAUGACAAAGUUGACAUUAGCAGAGUAAAGAGGGGAAUUAAUGCAAUUGUCCUAAUAAUUAAAAGUGUUCUGGGGAAAGUAAGUUUAACUGGAAAUCUAAUUUUAGCCAUAAUGCCUAUCUUUGCUCUGGUUACCAUAUACCUAAGAAAAAUUAGACAUUAUCAAUCUUAUUCCUCUCUACUAGUCAGAAAUAUUGUGCAACUAAUCAUACAGAGGUAAGAUAUUUGAAAUUAUUGGACUUGUAUUUAAAUUGCUGUUACAACACCUGAAUAUAAAUCAAAAUAGUGGGGCUGCUGUAAAAGGACAAGUAUUAUUUAAUUCUCAAUUUGUUAAUGCAGAUCUGGCCUUACUUCAUUUUAAAUCACAGGAAAGAGAAAUUAAAAUGGAAAAGUUAUCCAGGUGAUUACAUUUAUACAAGUGAUUAACUUAAAUGUGACAAUAAUAAUAAAGAAGAACAAAACAAAAUCAGUGAGGAGAUUCACUUUUCCUUCCAAGUAGGACCGCAUUUUCUGGGGAAUUUGAAUUACCUGGAUAAUUAUUUCUGUACUCCACCACUUUGUCUGAAAAGGCAAAGCAUUUUUACAAUAAUGAUUACAUUCAACAUGCAGAUAGCCCGGGUUACCAGUCCCAUCAAGUUACUGUUUUCCUGUAUCAAUAAUAAUAGAGUAAUUCCACCAAAUUUUAUGUAGUUUUCGCCUUCCAAGUGCUUAGCAAAUAUUAAUUCAUCAUUGUAGCAUUCCUAUGAGGAGGUAAGAAUUUUUAAUAAAAAAAUAUAAUCUAGAUUAAUUUACUUGAAAGCACACGUGUAAGAGAAGCAGAGAAGCUCUAAAAAAAUUAAAUGAUUAUAUAAGGAUAUGAAAGAAGGCAAUAUUAUUUUAUGGUUCAUUCUCUCUCCAAGUAAUUUGAAGAGAAGCUCUUGGGAGUAACAGGCCCGUCAAGGUUUAAAAAGAUUUUGUCUACAGUCUCGUCUUUCAAGUGAAGGAACAAUUAGCAAUAUUUCCAUGGAGACGUGACCAAGUCCCAGGCCAAGAACAACCCUCGCCCCAGGCACCCAGCCCAGGCCCUUCCUGGGGUUCACUGGACCCCGCCAAGAGCAGAAGCCUCGUGUCCCGCACGCUGGGCACCCGCAUGAGGCUGCCUGUGGCUGCCCCGCAAGGUCCUAGAGGCAGAAAUCUCGGUCGGCGGAACCCAGUUCGAUGCUGUCAAGGCUUCCAAUCUCCUCCACACCUUCCCGGAGGCCUCCUCCUUUCCCUCCAAGGCCAAGUGCGCCAUUUAUUUUGAGAAGCCUGAGGCUUCGUCCUCGUCCUGAGGACCUUUCCGCGCACAUCUCUUGCUCCUGCAUCCUAGAGGGAACGGCGCUCUGACCUGGAGGAGGCACUAGCCCGACGCUGGACGCACGCAAUCCUGAGAACAGGCGGGCUGGGAGCACUGGUGGGCCAGGGCUGCGGCGUCCCGGGCAGGGUCGGGCCGGGCCUCGCCUUCGCUGCGUUCCCAAGCGGGGCCCUAGAGGAAGGGGCGGAGAGGGUGAUCCUCUGAGGCUCCUGAGGACCGGGAAGGGUGUCCACACCCAGGAAAGGGAGGCUAUUGUUUUGGCCUUUUACUAUUCCACGCUUUCUCCAAAAGCCUGGUUAAAAGUCAAGGGAAGGGCCGGGUGCGGUAGGUCACGCCUGUAAUCCCAGCACUUUGGGAGGCCAAGGUGGGCGGAUCACGAGGUCAGGAGAUCGAGACUAUCCUGGCUAACACGGUGAGACCCCCAUCUCUACUAAAAAUACAAAAAAUUAGCAGGGCGUGGUGGCGGGCGCCUGUAGUCCCAGCUACUCGGGAGUCUGAGGCAGGAGAAUGGCGUGAACCCGGGAGGCGGAGGUUGCAGUGAGCCGAGAUGGCGCCACUGCACUCCAGCCUGGCGACAGAGAGACACUCGUCAAAACAAACAAACAAAAAAGUCCAGGGAAGUGGUUGGUGGUAGGUAAAGUUCCUUGGUCUCUCUGAUGGGGUGACUUCUAUCCACCCUGAGUCACCCGUUUGUGUCCCAGCUUUCAGCAAUUUCCCCCCAGCUCCCUGGUACUGUCCGUUGUGAAAAUUUGAAACGAAAAAAAAAAAUCUGCCCUUGGGUGUUCCUAAAACUUUCUGAUUGUUUCUCUGGAUAGUGGACAGCUGCCAUGAUAGGCAAUCCUCACACCGUAUCACGGCGUGUUGAGUUUAUCCCAAGAUAACAGCAUCUUUGUAGCAAUAACUGAUGAGGAAGAACAUUUUAUUUAUUCAUUUAUUUUUAAUUUCAUAAGUGAUGAGAAACCAAGGGUUUGGAUGAUAGAGUUCAGAGGAAGGAGAAACGCAGGUGUGUAAAACGAGACAUUCGGCAUAUUCAGUGUUGGAGAAAGGCGCUCCUUUUGGAAAGAUGAAGUUCAGGGAAAUUCAUUGUUUCUCAGGUAUUUCUGUUUUCCUUAGGAUAUUUCUAAUUUUGAUCACCCUCAUUUAAGGAGACAGAAAAAGCUAAGUGAGAACUGGACUUCAGUUCAUCAAAUCUGUCUUCAUUUAGGCUUCAGUCAAUCCUUUGUUCUUUGAAAAAAAAUCCUCCCCCACCACAUCCUACCCCACCAUGAUAUUAUAAUAGUCCAGCUAAACUACGUAUAAAAAAGAAUAUAAAUAAAAUAUAAGUAUUAAGAACACCCAAAGCCGGGUGAAAUUAUUCAUACUUGCAAAAGUUGAUGAGCUAAUUUGGCUCUGAGCUUGCCUAGAGCAGGCAGUAAAAAAUAGAAGGCAUUUUGGUUUCUGCAAGGCUACUUUGUAAAAUCUUUGAUCUGCCACUAGAGGCUGCUCUUAAUUCUUAAUAUGUCAGGACUAAUCCAGUGAGUUUUUUUUUCCUCACAGCCAGUAAGGAACUGGAGAUUACUUUAGAAGCUGCAUUUCUUUGCUGUUAUUUGAUGUCUUUUUCCCGCGAACCGUUCUUUUUCCCUCCCUCUCUCUUCCCUCCCUUCCUUCCUUCCCUCCUUCCUUCCUUCUUUCUUUCUUUCUUGGGGGAGGCAGAAUGGCACUACGUCAGUUCUGUUUGAUUUUGGCUUGCAUCCAAAUAGAAAAUAAAGACACUCUUAGUUUGGGCUUACGCUUUUGUAUUUCAGCACAGUACAUAGGCUUACGGUGUUUUUGGUUGCUGUUACUAAAUUUUCCUUUUUGCAAUUUGAAAGAAAAUUCAUCUUUUAUUAAGGCACAGUUUAUGACCAAAAUGCAUUGUUUCUAUCGCUUUUCUUAUUAACUAUUAUAGUGAAUUAAAUGGUUGUUCUCUUUGCCAUUCCCUUUUUAAUAAAAUAAGGGAUAUUCAGAAAGGACUUUUUAAAUAGGCAAGAUAUAAUUAGAUCUUAAGCAAAUACAGGAUGAGUACAAGGUGAAGUUUUAUGAAAUGUUCCAGUAGUGUAUAGAGCUUUAUUUCUUAUCAAACGCAUAUUGCAUUAAAAAGUAUUUGGAUUUCUGACAAGUGAUACCCACGCCUUAAGUGUCAGAUGGCAAAGUAUUAAUCUGCAACAUGAGACUUCAAAUAAACAUUUAGCCUUCUACAUAAUAUACAAGACCUGCCGUGAUGGUUAAUAUGAGUGUCAACUUGAUCGGAUUGAAGAAUGCAAAAUAUUGAUCCUGGGUGUCUCUGUGAGGGUGUUGCCAAAGCAGAUUAACAUUUGAGACAGUGGGCUGGGCAGACCCACCCUUAAUCUGGGUGGGCGCCAUCUAAUCAGCUGCCAGCACUUCCAGAAUAUAAAGCAGGCAGAAAAACGUGAAAAGGCUAGACUGGCUUAAUUAACCUCCUAGCCUUACAUCUUUCUCUCAUGCUGGAUGCUUCCUGCCCUGGAACAUCAGACUCCAGGUUCUUCAGCUUUUGGGACUCGGACUGGCUACCUUGGCCUAUUGUGGGACCUUGUGAUCGUGUGAGUUAAUACUACCUAAUAAACUCUCAAAUAUAUAUAUGUAUAUAUAUCUCCUAUUAGUUCUUUCCCUCUAGAGAACCGUGACUAAUACACCUGGCUUUUUUGACUCCCACAUCUCAUUGUAACUUGCAAAGGGGAUGGAUUCUAACAUUUAUUGAACUUCUGCUAUGUGCCAGUUACUCUGCUAGGUGUUUUAUGUACCACUAUCUCAUUUAUUCUUUAUGACAGCUUUACGAAGCAGAUAUUAUCACUUUUUUUAAAAUCAGGAAAUAAGCUUAAAAGUAACUCGUGGCUGGGAGUGGUGGCUCACACCUGUAAUCCCAGCACUUUGGGAGGCU